rnacentral:rRNA from 1 species
AUGGAAAACGAUUCAGAUCAGACGGCCGAUCCAGCGCGAGCAUCCGCCGCCUCUCCCGUGCGAUGUGCGUGUUGCGUGGGACCCAUCCAGCAUUAUCUGUAUGGAGUAGUUCCCUUCAUCUUUAUCUCACCCACACCAACUGCUCAACCUUUUCCUUUCUUCCAUGGCGUUUUGUCUCUCUCAAGUCUUCUCUCAAUCUCCUACCCAAAUCUCCUACUAGAUGAUGUUGUUUUUUGCAGCCAGUGCGUGGUUCAGGGAACUGCGACUGCAUGCAAGACCUCGUCCAUGCCGCCCCUGACCAUCACCAGCCGUGCGAAUAGCGACGGUGUUGUCAGCAACGGUGGCAGUGUUUCUGAAACAUCAUCUUUGUUGCAAUUUUUUCUGCAAUAUCCUGUGUGUUGCAAAAGCUCCUUCAAUAACAUGGCAAAAGAAUUCUGCAACAAAAUCUCUGGUGCGAAAAAAAAUCUGCAACAAGGCUUGUGUUGCAAUAAUGGAGGACGUUGCUAG